AGGUGCACCGCCUCAAGGCUGUAUACGACCAGAAGGUGGUCCCCCUCAUCACCGAGGAGUUCGGCUACACCAAUGUCCACCAGGUGCCCAAGGUUGAGAAGAUUGUAGUGAAUUGCGGGUUGGGGGCUGAAGCCGGUAACUCCAAGGGGCUCGAAUCCGCCAUGAAGGACCUCGCCAUGAUCACCGGCCAGUGGCCCGUCAAGACGAAGGCCAAGAAGUCCGUCGCCAG
rnacentral:misc_RNA from 1 species